rnacentral:lncRNA from 1 species
CCAGGAUAACGAUUGAUAUGUUUGUCACAUCAAUCUUUUUCCUGAGCUUUCUGCAUAAAAGUAAACUGGACAAGAUUUUUGCCCAAGUUCUUCAGCUGUAAAAGGCAGUUGAGAAGAAAGGCAUAAUCCACCACAUUAGCAUAAAAAAAAAAAUAAAAAAAAAAAAAAAAAUCCCAAUAUAUGUAUUUUAACAUAGCAUCAGCUAUUUUUGGUUAGGAACUUUCACCAGAUGAGUGACUUAAACCUGUCAUCAGCAACUGUAAUGCCCGGAGAACCAACUGUGUGAAGGGACUGCAGUGAGAAUUCAAGAGCGUCCUGUGGUCCUUCAGAUUUGUCAUUGUGAGCUGUGAAUGAGCAUUGAUUCCUUGGGGAAAGAUGUGUGAGGGAAGAGCUAAAACCAGCAACACUGCUGAAGAAAUGGCUGUAAGAGAUAUUACAGACAUCUGCAGAAAGCUAAGAGAAAUCUGAGUAUCCUGUGGAGAGCAACUUUCUGACUGAGUGGUACUUACUUGCUGCGCAGCCCUCCUGCUCUGAACCAUACAGACAGAAACAACGGGGUUGGAGCUGUCCUCCUGUGAAAUGCCUGGCUGGUGUGUGUGACAGGCCUUCAAAGGGCUGCCUCCAUGGUACCCACAACUUCCAGCUAAAUGCACAACAGCCUGAUAAAGCUGUUUGUACACCAGACGAUGAACUGUGUAAGAGAUGUAGUCUUGUUUGCUUCUUCAGGAAAACCUCCUAUGAGCAGAGAGGGUAA